rnacentral:rRNA from 2 species
ACUCUCGGCAACGGAUAUCUCGGCUCACGCAUCGAUGAAGAACGUAGCAAAAUGCGAUACUUGGUGUGAAUUGCAGAAUCCCGUGAACCAUCGAGUUUUUGAACGCAAGUUGCGCCCAAAGCCAUUUGGUUGAGGGCACGUCUGCCUGGGCGUCACGCAUCGUGUCGC